GAUGAACGCUGGCGGCGUGCCUAAUACAUGCAAGUCGAGCGAACAGACGAGGAGCUUGCUCCUCUGACGUUAGCGGCGGACGGGUGAGUCACACGUGGAUAACCUACCUAUAAGACUGGGAUAACUUCGGGAAACCGGCGCUAAUACCGGAUAAUAUAUUGAACCGCAUGGUUCAAUAGUGAAAGACGGUUUUGCUUUCACUUAUAGAUGGAUCCGCGCCGCAUUAGCUAGUUGGUAAGGUAACGGCUUACCAAGGCAACGAUGCGUAGCCGACCUGAGAGGGGGAUCGGCCACACUGGAACUGAGACACGGUCCAGACUCCUACGGGAGGCAGCAGUAGGGAAUCUUCCGCAAUGGGCGAAAGCCUGACGGAGCAACGCCGCGUGAGUGAUGAAGGUCUUCGGAUCGUAAAACUCUGUUAUUAGGGAAGAACAAAUGUGUAAGUAACUAUGCACGUCUUGACGGUACCUAAUCAGAAAGCCACGGCUAACUACGUG
rnacentral:rRNA from 1 species